GACCGUAGACGAUGGAUGACUAGGCUUGUACACCGAUGAAGAGCGCAGCUAGCUGCGAUAAGUAGUGUGAAUUGCAGAAUUCUGUGAAACACUAAAUUCUUGAACGCAUCCGGCACCUGUGAGCAAUCACAGGUACACUUGGUUGAGUGCGGUUUCAUCAAUUCUUCAAAAACACCAAUCGUGUCUUUUGAAGGUGUUGGGGUGCUCGGUUUGUCUGAAAUUCAGACUCACACAACCGUUCCCUCAAAUAUCCCCUCUUCGAAUAACUAUUCGAUUGAUUGGCCAUUCCAACAAAAGGAAUCACUGAUCGCUGGUUGAAACGAUCAAAGGUUUUACUAGCAAGUGAAAUCCUGGAAUGCGAUUCACAUCAUGGAGUAUUAUUCACUUUUCCAGCGAUGGAAAAAAAGAGGGAGGUAGAUGUCUCCUUUUUUUUAAAAAGGAAUACAUAACCUUGACCUCAAAUCAGGUAGGACAACCCGCUGAACUUAAGCAUAUCAAUAAGCGGAGGAAAAGAAACUAACAAGGAUUCCCUUAGUAACUGCGAGUGAAGUGGGAAAAGCUCAUACCCAAAUCUGGCGUGGUUUACUGCGCUCGAAAUGUAGUGUUAGGAUUGGUACACGGUUUGAUCCGCAAGAGAAAGUGUGCUGGAACGCACCGCCACAGAGGGUGACAGCCCCGUACUCUUGCUGGUGUCUUUCCUACUGUACUUUUCUUAGAGUCGGUAUGUUUGAGAGUACAUACCUAAGUGGGAGGUAAACUCCUUCUAAAGCUAAAUACGGGUACAAGACCGAUAGCGAACAAGUAGCGUGAGCGAAAGUUGCAAAGAACUCUGGAGAGAGAGUUAAAGAGUCCCUGAAAUCGUCUACGGGUAA
rnacentral:misc_RNA from 1 species